rnacentral:misc_RNA from 1 species
UUUCCGUAGGUGAACCUGCGGAAGGAUCAUUACAGUAGUCGCCCGGGUUGCCGCAAGGCCUCCCGGGUAACCUACCACCCUUUGUUUAUUACACUUUGUUGCUUUGGCAGGCCUGCCCUCGGGCUGCUGGCUCCGGCCGGCGAGCGCUUGCCAGAGGACCUAAACUCUGUUUGUCUAUACUGUCUGAAUACUAUAUAAUAGUUAAAACUUUCAACAACGGAUCUCUUGGUUCUG